GCCACAUGAUGUUUGUAUGUUUUUUGAUUUUAAUGAUGACUCUACAUCUAUCACCCUAUAACUGAUGGCU